rnacentral:rRNA from 1 species
CAGAGAAAUUUGGAUUAAUACCUCAUAAUAUUAUAAAACGGCAUCGUUUUAUAAUUAAAACUCCGGUGGUUAAAGAUGAGCAUGCGUCCUAUUAGUUAGUUGGUGAGGUAACGGCUUACCAAGACAAUGAUAGGUAGGGGGCCUGAAAGGGUGAUCCCCCACACUGGUACUGAGACACGACCAGACUCCUACGGGAGGCAGCAGUAAGGAAUAUUGCACAAUGGAGGAAACUCUGAUGCAGCCAUGCCGCGUGCAGGAAGACUGCCCUAUGGGUUGUAAACUGCUUUUCUACAAGAAGAAACCCCAGUACGUGUACUGGCUUGACGGUAUGUAGGAAUA